AUGGCGAAUCUCCACAACAGAUUUUCUGCUUUGAGUGAUUAUAAGGGUUCUGCUAUAUCCAACACUUAGUCUCUACAAAUGAGGUCAUAUGUAUUUCUUUCUUUUUUUGUAGUGAAUGUUGUGGUACAAUGGAAGAAAACUCUUUCCUCAUCUCUGGUGAUGUAUUUUCAUGUAAGUGAACUCAUGGUGAAUCUCCACGAUAAUUUCCAGACUCGAAUGAUUAUACGGGUUUUGCUGUAUCCAACACUUUAUUUGAUACUGUGCAAGUGGAACAAAUUCUUGUGCUAUACAUUUUCAAAUGAUUUCAUACUUGAGUACAUAUGUGUAAUUAAUUGUUUCUUUUCCCUCAAUGCUUGUAGGAGGUGACCGUUGACAGUAUCUUAUUUUACCUAGCUUAACAUGACAUAAUGCUCGGUAUAAUGGUACUAGAGUAAUUAUUAGAACUUGUUCGACAUUACUGCAACUUUCUGAAUAACCCAUUUGUGCAUUUCUACUAGACACAUUUUACACCUGAUGUUUGGUAUGCUUUUGAACCAAUACUCUGAUGCCUCAUACAACAAAAACACAAUUGGAUAUGUUAGCACACAAAGGAAGCAGCAUCGAAAUAGUAAGAAAUCGAACUCAGAUAAAUUAUUAUGUAUGCUUGUGCUGAUGCAUCCCUAUCGUACCAGGUUAUCUGAUCAGAAGCGUUAUACUUGUAAUGAAGUCUGUUGUUUUUAGGCAUUCCAAUACUUAUUCCAUUAUUGGUUCAAUGAAGCAAUUACGUUUUUCCUACUUGGUAAAAGGAAAUAUUGCUCUUCAAUUCAUUUUUGCCCUUAUAUUUGUCCCUUAUUCUAAGGUAGUUUAAAUUUUCGAAUCUUUGUACAAUAUUUCAGCUGGUAACCGAGAACUGGUCUCUUUGUAUCGUUACUCUGAUGUCAUAUUUGUUGCAGUCUGAUGAUCAAAUCACAUGGACUGUGCCUCGAUAGGAGUCGCAAAAUGCGGGCUGCAAAGGAAAGCCUUGUUGGCAUGCUUCUUCGGAAUUGACUUCUCAGAACCACCCUUUGAUUCCAGGAACUCUUGCCAUGUCAAAUUUAUCAAGAUCAGACGCAGCUUCACCUUUGGAUGUGAAAUAAAGAAGCUGAUCCAGCGGCGAAGAAUUUAUUAUGAAUUCAUCUUCCGCAACAUGUUCUACUGAUUGCAUUGCACGAUUCGACCCUCACUCAUUUCCUCGACAUAUUGAAACAACAUCUGGUUCACAUGCUUCUGCUGUGAAUCUUGGGUUUUAAUAUAUUCGCAUCACUUGCUUUUUCAUGCAUCCAUGUAUUCGAUUCUCACGCCUCUUUAUCUGGUUUCAGAGGUACGUAAAUUUGCAUAUUUUGUAGACAAAGCGUUGGACCAUUGCAAGUGUCUCUGUUAUCAUUCAUCCUCGACUAUAUUCGAUGGUGUGUAUUUGGGAUCUCAUUCCUAUGGGAUGAGGGUUUAAACUCUCUUCGGAUGUCUUGUUCUAAGCACUUGUCUCCGGGAUGCAAAGCUUGUUAUCGAACCAGACUAAUCUCUCGAUCGGUAUUUCAAUUCUUAAUGUAGAAAAUUUCUGUUC